rnacentral:lncRNA from 1 species
AUGGCUGAAGCGGCUUUUUACACACCCAGUUCUCUUUCUUCAGCCUUUAUUCCCAAUGCGGUCUCUCUUUUUAACAGGCCCCCUUCCCUCCUCUCUCCACAGCCAGUUCCCACCAUCUUUCCCCAGCUCAGUAGUUCUCUACUCGAGGCAAUUUGCCCCCCAAGGGGCAUUUGGCAAUGUUGCCAGAUUUUUUUUUAUUGCCAUAACCUGGGAAAAGGUGCAAGCAGUGGCCAAUGGAUAAAGGCCAAGGCCGCUGCUGAGUAUUUUCCAAUGUGUGGGCCAGUUCUCCCCGGCAAGGAAUUGUCAAAAAUGCAAGAUCUGCAAGGUCUACAAUCUCCGGGGGCUCCUUCGUCACAUCCUAGUUCACAACUCAUCUCCCCUGAAACGUCUGUGAACACCACUCCCCACGGAGAAAUGGAUGGAAACACGCUAAAAGACAAGAACACUCAAGCACACCUAGUAUGUAUCUUGAUCACAUCAGAAUAACCUUCCAGAACUCCUGAAGGUUUUUUGCAGAUAAGUGAUAAGUUAUCUUGUAAUCUUGGGAAACAACAUGAAAACUGUGGAUCAUCUAUGGUGUCACUGUAGCUACCUUCUAACAUUUCUGCUUUAAACAGUGGCAUUUAAAUCAUUUUGCCCAUAGCAACUAAUGUCCUUUAAAUUAGCAUUAAAAAUUCAUUCUUUUGGUUUAUCCUUCCUGAAUCAAGCUAAUUAACUAUCAUCUGAGAGCCCUUUAAAUUAUAACCUGAAUGUGUUACAUUGUCUAAUUUAUAAUGGCUCAUCUAAGCAAAUUGAAAACCCAAAAAGGAGUGAAUUAAUUAACGUUAAUUAAAGAGUACAGCACGAAGCAGAUGCCAGGUCAACCUUUGGAGUGUGCUUGGAAAAUCAUCAUUGGGACCAAGUUGUCCCUUUGCAGCAGAUAGCUCUGGACAAAAGGCAGAGCCCUGGUGGCCUUGACAAGAAGGAGGAAGGGAAGCCAGAUGUAAGGUUAGAAGUAGCAUUGAAGACAGACAUUAUAAAUCUGUUUAUUGCCUGUAUUACCAGUAUGAUAUUACAUUUCUUGGCAAUAAGAAAUCACUCUGAAGUUUUUCACAUUUUUUCUAGAAAUUCCAUUGUAUAUUUUAAUCAGCAAACAUUUUCUGAAUGCCUUCCUACCGCUUUUAUGUAGAUACUGAGGGCAACACAAAGGUAAGAGUGUA